AACGCUAGCUACAGGCUUAACACAUGCAAGUCGAGGGGAAACGAUAUUGGAAGCUUGCUUCCGAUAGGCGUCGACCGGCGCACGGGUGAGUAACGCGUAUCCAACCUGCCCAUCACUUGGGGAUAACCUUGCGAAAGUAAGACUAAUACCCAAUGACGUCUCUAGAAGACAUCUGAAAGAGAUUAAAGAUUUAUCGGUGAUGGAUGGGGAUGCGUCUGAUUAGCUUGUUGGCGGGGUAACGGCCCACCAAGGCGACGAUCAGUAGGGGUUCUGAGAGGAAGGUCCCCCACAUUGGAACUGAGACACGGUCCAAACUCCUACGGGAGGCAGCAGUGAGGAAUAUUGGUCAAUGGACGAGAGUCUGAACCAGCCAAGUAGCGUGCAGGAAGACGGCCCUAUGGGUUGUAAACUGCUUUUAUAAGGGAAUAAAGUGAGUCUCGUGAGACUUUUUGCAUGUACCUUAUGAAUAAGGACCGGCUAAUUCCGUGCCAGCAGCCGCGGUAAUACGGAAGGUCCGGGCGUUAUCCGGAUUUAUUGGGUUUAAAGGGAGCGUAGGCCGGAGAUUAAGCGUGUUGUGAAAUGUAGACGCUCAACGUCUGCACUGCAGCGCGAACUGGUUUCCUUGAGUACGCACAAAGUGGGCGGAAUUCGUGGUGUAGCGGUGAAAUGCUUAGAUAUCACGAAGAACUCCGAUUG
rnacentral:rRNA from 1 species